UCCCUGGUGGCUCAGAGGUUAAAGCAUCUGCCUGCAAUGCAGGACACCCAGGUUCGAUCCCUGGGUUGGGAA
rnacentral:tRNA from 1 species